GACGAACGCUGGCGGCGUGCUUAACACAUGCAAGUCGAACGGAAAGGCCCUGCUUUUGUGGGGUGCUCGAGUGGCGAACGGGUGAGUAACACGUGAGUAACCUGCCCUUGACUUUGGGAUAACUUCAGGAAACUGGGGCUAAUACCGGAUAGGAGCUCCUGCUGCAUGGUGGGGGUGGGAAAGUUUCGGCGGGUGGGGAUGGACUCGCGGCUUAUCAGCUUGUUGGUGGGGGAGUGGCUUACCAAGGCUUGGACGGGUAGCCGGCCGGAGAGGGUGACCGGCGACAUUGGGCCUGCGAUACGGCCCAGACUCCUACGGGAGGCAGCAGUGGGGAAUAUGGCACAAUGGGCGGAAGCCUGAUGCAGCAACGCCGCGUGCGGGAUGACGGCCUUCUGGUUGUAAACCGCUUUCGCCUGUGACGAAGCGUGAGUGACGGUAAUGGGUAAAGAAGCACCGGCUAACUACGUG
rnacentral:rRNA from 1 species